CCCUUAGAUGUUCUGGGCUGCACGCGCGCUACACUGAAGCGUUCAACGAGUAUUCACCUUGCCCGGGAGGGUUGGGUAAUCUUUUGAAAACGUUUCGUGAUGGGGAUAGAUUAUUGCAAUUAUUAAUCUUCAACGAGGAAUUCCUAGUAAGCGUGAUUCAUCAGAUCGCGUUGAUUACGUCCCUGCCCUUUGUACACACCGCCCGUCGCUACUACCGAUUGAAUGGUUUAGUGAGAUCUCGGGACUGGCCUGCGCUGGUUGGCAACAACUGGCAUGGGCUGGGAACUUGCUCAAACUUGAUCAUUUAGAGGAAGUAAAAGUCGUANCA
rnacentral:rRNA from 1 species